rnacentral:rRNA from 1 species
CAGCAUGGUCUUAGCUUGCUAAGGCUGAUGGCGACCGGCGCACGGGUGAGUAACACGUAUCCAACCUGCCGUCUACUCUUGGCCAGCCUUCUGAAAGGAAGAUUAAUCCAGGAUGGGAUCAUGAGUUCACAUGUCCGCAUGAUUAAAGGUAUUUUCCGGUAGACGAUGGGGAUGCGUUCCAUUAGAUAGUAGGCGGGGUAACGGCCCACCUAGUCAACGAUGGAUAGGGGUUCUGAGAGGAAGGUCCCCCACAUUGGAACUGAGACACGGUCCAAACUCCUACGGGAGGCAGCAGUGAGGAAUAUUGGUCAAUGGGCGAUGGCCUGAACCAGCCAAGUAGCGUGAAGGAUGACUGCCCUAUGGGUUGUAAACUUCUUUUAUAAAGGAAUAAAGUCGGGUAUGCAUACCCGUUUGCAUGUACUUUAUGAAUAAGGAUCGGCUAACUCCGUGCCAGCAGCCGCGGUAAUACGGAGGAUCCGAGCGUUAUCCGGAUUUAUUGGGUUUAAAGGGAGCGUAGAUGGAUGUUUAAGUCAGUUGUGAAAGUUUGCGGCUCAACCGUAAAAUUGCAGUUGAUACUGGAUGUCUUGAGUGCAGUUGAGGCAGGCGGAAUUCGUGGUGUAGCGGUGAAAUGCUUAGAUAUCACGAAGAACUCCGAUUGCGAAGGCAGCCUGCUAAGCUGCAACUGACAUUGAGGCUCGAAAGUGUGGGUAUCAAACA